CAGACGUUGCGCGCGCGCGGGGUUAGGGAGCGGUUGGCCAACAUGGCGGCGUCGGAGGAGGACGGGGGCUUCGGGGAUGGGGAGCGGCUGGAUUUCCUGAAGGAGCGGCACGUGCGGUUCUUCCAGCGCUGCCUGCAGAUCCUGCCCGAGCGCUAUUCGUCCCUGGAGACCAGCAGAACAGCAAGAUAAAAGAUGAUCAGCUUAAGAAAGCUGAAUUCAUAAGAGAAGGGGACAAACUAAAUAAACAUCCAUUCAACAAUGGAAGAUGAAAAAGCUACGAGAGACAGAGAAAAUCUUAGCCCAGAAGAAGAAGCCAGAGGAAGGGCUCGCUACAGCUAUACUACAGCAUGCAGCAGCCCAGAAGCAAAAAGCUGAAGAGG